AGCUCUCCGAGUGGUGUGGAUGGUUAUUGGGCUUAAAGCAUCCGUAGCCUGCUGAGCAAGUCCCCUGUUAAACCCAACGAUCUAAUCGUUGGUCUGCGGGGGAUACUGUUCGGCUAGGGGGCGGGAGAGGCCGCCGGUAUUCUCGGGGUAGGGGUGAAAUCCUAUAAUCCCGGGAGGACCACCAGUGGCGAAGGCUGUCGGCUAGAACGCGCCCGACGGUGAGGGAUGAAAGCUGGGGGAGCGAACC
rnacentral:rRNA from 1 species